rnacentral:lncRNA from 1 species
GAAAGAUCCAAAGUGUCAGAGAAGUCUCUCUCUUGGCCGUGAAUAACAGGCUACCUUGAAUUGGUGUUUCCUUUGCGUAUUUUGUUUCUAAGCAAAUCGAGUCCCAGGUAGAGUUUUGCCCUUGAGCAGCUUCAUGAGGUCAAGGAGGGGCGCUCACUCCACUCUGCACGGAAACACUGAGUGGAAUGAAAAUACAACCGGAGAGAAUGUCCUCCCCACCAGAAGGUCGCCUCGAGACAGGCCUCCACGCAUCGUUGCUGACCUCACACAGUGAUACCUCUGCAUGCCGGGGAGCAAUUCCAUCCAAGUCCCUGCAUCCUUGUCCAGGAGCAGCCAUCAGUGUGGAGCUGGGGCUUGGAGAUCUUGCUCCCCGCUGCCUCUAGGGCUCAGGGGCAUGGCUGCCGACCACACAGGGGCAGGAAUGUCUGAGACGCGCUCUGCAAGAUGAGUUGGCAGCAUCUCUGUGCCUCUGGUUUUGCCAGGCUCCACCAACAUCCCGCUAAGAACUCUUCACCCUCAAGUGCACUGAGGGGAACCCCAGUGAAGGCCAAUGAGGGAAACCACACAUCACUGAGGGCCGACGGAGGCCCCCAAAGCUCAGAUCGCUGUGCUCGCCAGUAGGUCCCCAGACACCCUUAACACAGCUAUCUGCAGGAUUGAAUGAUUGCUGGGACCACACAAUUUACACUUGGCUCUCGUGGUCCGGAGGGGAGGACUGCGCCAGCAUGAGAAGACCAGAGAGCAAGUAAAUGGAAAUUUGGCGAGAUCCUGUGGCUGCUGUUGGUGGCUGCAGCCAGACAGGAAAACUGAGAUGGUGUGAGCAGAAAGGGCUGGAAGGAGUUGGCUUUUUCCAAGAAAUUACAGCGGAAUCUUCUUCCAAGAGGCUGGGGGCCUCUGCAGACAUGAUCUCAUUACUUACCCCCCAAAUCCCCCAGCUUCCCUACGGACCAAGGACCAGGGGUCUCUGCCCAGUCCUAGCUCCAAGGAAACUCACACUUGGCAGAUUUUCCUAAUCGGAGCUGGCCUUGAAGUUUGCUCACUGAUAAUCACCAGAAAGUCACCCCAACAAUGGGUGAUGCCAGAGUGUCCUCAAGCUUCAAGGGUCCGUAAAAACACUUGACUCCCCCAGGACAAAAAUGACUGGGGGAAACAUGCAGUUCUUCAAAGAGAACGGUUUCAUUCUGUACCAAAGGGUGUCUUAAUUUGCCUUGGCAAGAGAGGCAGCACCGUGUUGUGGGUGGACAGCACUCGGGGGGUGGACGGCACUCGGG